GGUCUGGCGGCGAGUGGCGAACGGGUGAGUAAUGCAUCGGAACGUACCUUUCAGUGGGGGAUAACGUAGCGAAAGUUACGCUAAUACCGCAUAUUCUGUGAGCAGGAAAGCAGGGGAUCGCAAGACCUUGCGCUGAUGGAGCGGCCGAUGUCAGAUUAGCUAGUUGGUGGGGUAAAGGCUCACCAAGGCGACGAUCUGUAGCGGGUCUUACAGGAUGAUCCGCCACACUGGAACUGAGACACGGUCCAGACUCCUACGGGAGGCAGCAGUGGGGAAUUUUGGACAAUGGGCGCAAGCCUGAUCCAGCCAUGCCGCGUGAGUGAAGAAGGCCUUCGGGUUGUAAAGCUCUUUCGGCCGGGAAAAAAUCGCUUGGGUUAAUACCCUGAGUGGAUGAUGGUACCGGAAUAAGAAGCACCGGCUAACUACGUGCCAGCAGCCGCGGUAAUACGUAGGGUGCGAGCGUUAAUCGAAUUACUGGGCGUAAAGCGUGCGCAGGCGGUUUUGUAAGACAGGCGUGAAAUCCCCGGGCUCAACCUGGGAACUGCGGUUGUGACUGCAAGGCUAGAGUAUGGCAGAGGGGGGUGGAAUUCCACGUGUAGCAGUGAAAUGCGUAGAGAUGUGGAGGAACACCAAUGGCGAAGGCAGCCCCCUGGGCCAAUACUGACGCUCAUGCACGAAAGCGUGGGGAGCAAACAGGAUUAGAUACCUUGGUAGUCCACGCCCUAAACGAUGUCAACUAGGUGUUGGGUGGGUAAAACCAUUUGGUACCGUAGCUAACGCGUGGAGUUGACCGCCUGGGGAGUACGGCCGCAAGGUUAAAACUCAAAGGAAUUGACGGGGACCCGCACAAGCGGUGGAUGAUGUGGAUUAAUUCGAUGCAACGCGAAAAACCUUACCUACCCUUGACAUGCCAGGAACUUGCCAGAGAUGGCUUGGUGCCCGAAAGGGAGCCUGGACACAGGUGCUGCAUGGCUGUCGUCAGCUCGUGUCGUGAGAUGUUGGGUUAAGUCCCGCAACGAGCGCAACCCUUGUCGUUAAUUGCCAUCAUUUAGUUGGGCACUUUAACGAGACUGCCGGUGACAAACCGGAGGAAGGUGGGGAUGACGUCAAGUCCUCAUGGCCCUUAUGGGUAGGGCUUCACACGUCAUACAAUGGUCGGUACAAAGGGUUGCCAAGCCGCGAGGCGGAGCCAAUCCCAGAAAGCCGAUCGUAGUCCGGAUCGCAGGCUGCAACUCGCCUGCGUGAAGUCGGAAUCGCUAGUAAUCGUGGAUCAGCAUGUCACGGUGAAUACGUUCCCGGGUCUUGUACACACCGCCCGUCACACCAUGGGAGCGGGUUCCGCCAGAAGUAGGUAGCCUAACCGCAAGGAGGGCGCUUACCACGGCGGGGUUCGUGACUG
rnacentral:rRNA from 1 species